UUUGUGGGACCGCGGCGGCGUAGGCGUGCGACGGAGUUCGGACGUGGUUGUCCUGAUCCUGGACCAGGACGUUGACGAAAUAACCGAGCCUAGGGUCAGAUAAGAAGCUCAGAUCGUUAGCGAAAAGCUGAGCCAUUUUUCUCUCCCGACGAACAAGGAAGAAGGGGGUGGCGGCGGCGGUUCCUUCUGGCCACAAGGAAAAAAGGGAGGAUGCUGGGAUGGAGUUACUUCUCAACGCCGUCGACAGGUUCCCACUGAUGUAGGAGUUCGCGGACACCGUUGAGCAGCCAGAUGUGGCUCCUCUGGUGUUGAUGCGGCCAAGCGAGGCCGCCUGCGGUGGGACUAUGAACUCAAAGGGUGCUUCUGGAUGCAGCCAGCAGGUCAGCGAUGACGAGCUAACCGGGAGGCAUGGUGGAGCUCGCUGCCAUGCGGAUGCAUCUCCCGACUAGGUCGGCGCAGUCCACUGACACAGUGAAUCCGAAAGUUCCUGGAUGGACAAAAAGAUUAUGGCUAAGGAGUGAGCCACCAGAUAGGACACCAUGUCUAUCACGGAUGAGUGCGCUCGAGGAGUCGAUCCACAAGUUUGAUUCAGAAUAAGGUACGGUAAGAGCUGGCUAAACGUCGAGAGGACAAGGUGUCAAAGUGAAUGCAAGAAAUCGCAUGCGGCUGCUCGGUAAACACUUAUUCAUGUAAUUAUUGUUUUGGAAGGUAAGCAGCAGCCAUGGACGUCGGUGCUACAAGUGUGUUUAAAUGAUGACAUUUGUGUUUUUUGUCAAUUAUACAGGGGAAACCAGAGGCGGAGAAUAGUAGGUCAUGUCGGUGUAAGUGUGUUGCAUUGAUAAGGCUGAUGCGCGUGUUCGACAACAGUUGAUACAUAACAGAGAAAGCAGAUGGUCCAUGACAAAAUAUAACAAAGGCUAUCUGGAAACAAUCUUUUUCAAGCUGGCUGGAAUUCUCGUUGAUGUCGCGCAAAAGGAACUCUUCUGCUGCACGCAAGCUGUGAACCCCCGUCUUGUUCAUUUCAACUGUACCCUUUAUGAACUGAAUUGCUUCAGGGUUUAUGUUGGCAUCUCUGCCUUUGAUUU